CAGUAGCCGCGGGAAUACAGAGGGUGCGAGCGUUAAUCGGAUUUACUGGGCGUAAAGCGUGCGUAGGCGGCUUCUUAAGUCGGAUGUGAAAUCCCUGAGCUUAACUUAGGAAUUGCAUUCGAUACUGGGAAGCUAGAGUAUGGGAGAGGAUGGUAGAAUUCCAGGUGUAGCGGUGAAAUGCGUAGAGAUCUGGAGGAAUACCGAUGGCGAAGGCAGCCAUCUGGCCUAAUACUGACGCUGAGGUACGAAAGCAUGGGGAGCAAACAGGAUUAGAGACCCGAGUAGUCCAUGUCUCUUAUAC
rnacentral:rRNA from 1 species